rnacentral:rRNA from 1 species
GAUGAACGCUGGCGGCGUGCUUAAUACAUGCAAGUCGAACGGAAAGGCCCUGCUUUUGUGGGUUGCUUGAUUGGCGAACGGGUGAGUAUCACGCGAGUAUCAUGUCCUUGUCUUUGGGAUAACUUCAGGAAACUCGGGCUAAAACCGGAUAGGAGCUCCUGCUGCGUGGUGGUGGUUGGAAAGAUUCGGCGGUUGUGGAUGGACUCGCGGCUUAUCAGCUUGUUGGUGAGGUAGUGACUUACCACGGCUUUGACGGGUAGCCGGCCUGAGAGGGUGACCGGCCACAUUAGGCCUGAGAUACGGCCCAGACUCGUACGGGAGGCAGCAGUGGGGAAUAUUACGCAGUGGGCGGGAGCCUGAUGCGGUAGCGCCGCGUGCGGGAUGACGGCCUUCGGGUUGUAAACCGCUUUCGCCUGUGACGAAGCGUGAGUGACGGUAAUGAGUAAAGAAGCACCGGCUAACUACGUG